GAUACCCCUGCUGCCCAUGGAGAACAACUUCACAGUUCCAUUUGGCCCUCUGGAAAAGAAAUAAUGUGAGAGGUUCUGAUAAUCAGCUCCAGGCUCUUUACCUGUGUCCCUUUGACUUCAGCCUCCUGCUCCCAGGUGCCACCAACAUUGGUGAAGACUACAACCUUUCCUGUGUGCUGUUUUUCCUUACCCAGAUAAGCAUCAUGCAUGUCUUCUUUGGAUGGCUUGAUAAAGACAGAACCUUGAUUUGGGGAGUAUAAGAAGACACCUCCAGACCAGCCAAAACUCCCCACAGCUCCUAGGACUGGCCCCAUCUGAGAGCAGAAAAAUUGUUAAAUCUAGAGGUUUUGAUCCAAUUAUGUUCAGUUCCUCCCGGGCUUUGACAUGUUCAAAAGCAUCUCCCACCUGCUAUCAGCAAACAGUAG